rnacentral:lncRNA from 1 species
GGACCCUCCUGCCUCUGCUUCCUGAGUACUGCCCCUGAAGGCAGGCACUACCCCCACCUAGCUUUAGUUUUUAAACUGGUGUCUGGAUGCAUGUGCCUGUGUGUCUGUGUGUGUGUGUGUGUGCCGUGAGCGUGUGUGUGUGUUCUUGAAGUCCAGAGAGUGAACUCUGGAAGAUCAGCAAAUACUUUCAACCACAGCGCCAUCUCUCAAGCCCCCGCUUUGGUUUACACUGUGCGUUCAUAGGGAGGUCAGAGGACAGCUUGUAGGAAUCAGUUCUUGACUUCCCCCAUAUGGGUUCCCGGGAACACACUCAGGUUGUCACUCGUGCCCAUUUCACCAGCGCCAUCUUGUUUGGGGGGCCAGUGUUUCAGAUAAGCUAAUGAACCCACGAGCUUCCAGGACAGUUUUCCUGUCUCCACCUUCUACAUCACCUUAGGAGUGCCAGAGUUACAGAUGUGAGCCACCUGUCUGGCUUGUUGUGGAUUUCAGGGUUCAGACUCAGGUUGCCAGGCGUGAAUGGCAAGCGCCCUUGUCCUCCUCACGGUCCCCGCCCCGUAGCCGCUUGUAGCAGAAAGUAUUUUACUGCAAUGGUUCUUUGCAAAUUCCUGACCACUACCUCUCGCCUUCUUCACAGAUUUCCUCUCCUUUCCUUCAUCGGCCAGGCAGAACUCCACUUUCUAUCCUGAACCCCCUUCUUGUCUGUCUCUCCUUCCCAUUUGGCAAGAUCUUCUACAGUGGAGCCACUCCCAUCAAUGGUUUUUUGAGACAAGACCUUGUGUAGCCCGGGUUGGCUUCAAACUGUCUGUACAGCCCAGGCUGGCUGAGAAUUCCUCAUCCCGGUAUGACAGAUGUGAGCCACCACACCCAGCCUUCCCAGGAUUCGGAAUCCUCUUCCCCAAAGUGGAGAUCAGAGGCAAGGUCUGGGAGGUGAGCAGAGCCCCCCACCCAUGAGUCCUUGUAAAUCAUGGCAGAAACUUUGCACUACAUCUUGAAGGCACCUUCACCUGGGGGAUUUGAGCUGGAUAAGAACCUCCCCCUUUCCCAUUCUAACACCGGGUCAGCCUGGAGGCCCCAGGCUGUGUGAUUCAGGGUUGAGCUGAAGCAAACAGUUGUCAGUUCAAACACCGUCGCAGGAGACCGUCCACCUGAGGGAGUGGUGGGAGUGACCAUCA